UACGUAGGGGGCAAGCGUUGUUCGGAUUUACUGGGCGUAAAGGGCGCGUAGGCGGCGCGUAAAGUCGGACAUGAAAUCAUUGGGCUUAACCCAAUGGCUGUGACCGAUACUUGCGUGCUUAGAGUGCGGGAGAGGCAAUCGGAAUUCUCGGUGUAGCGGUGAAAUGCGUAGAGAUCGAGAGGAACUCCAGUGACUAAGGUGGGUUGCUGGACCGACACUGACGCUGAGGUGCGAAAGCUAGGGGAGCAAACGGG
rnacentral:rRNA from 1 species